rnacentral:sRNA from 1 species
GGUCUCAGAGGCCAGCAGUUAUUGGAGAUGUCCUUCAAGUCUACAGUGGGUCUGAAGGGAGGGCUAUUAUUUUCUGUGAGACCAAGAAGAAUGUAACUGAAAUGGCCAUGAAUCCACACAUAAAACAGGGAAUUACUUUUAAACGUGUAGGUGUUCCUUCUACAAUGGAUUUAGUUAAAUCUAAAAGCAUGGAUGCCAUCAGGUCUCUGGCUUCCGUUUCUUAUGCUGCUGUUGAUUUUUUCCGACCAUCAGCUCAGAGACUGAUAGAAGAGAAAGGUGCAGUGGAUGCAUUGGCUGCAGCUUUAGCCCACAUUUCUGGUGCAUCAAGCUUUGAACCACGAUCUUUGAUCACCUCUGAUAAGGGGUUUGUGACCAUGACUCUGGAAAGCCUAGAGGAAAUACAGGAUGUCAGCUGUGCUUGGAAAGAACUUAACAGAAAGCUGAGUAGUAAUGCAGUGUCUCAGAUUACCAGAAUGUGCCUCCUGAAAGGAAAUAUGGGUGUUUGCUUUGAUGUUCCUACAACUGAGUCAGAAAGGUUACAGGCAGAGUGGCAUGAUUCCGACUGGAUACUCUCAGUGCCAGCCAAAUUACCUGAAAUUGAAGAAUAUUAUGAUGGAAACACAUCUUCUAAUUCCAGACAGAGGAGUGGCUGGUCAAGUGGUCGAUCGGGCCGGUCAGGCCGGUCAGGUGGUCGAUCUGGCGGCCGGUCAGGUAGACAGAGUCGACAAGGAAGUCGCUCAGGAA